CUACGGGGCGCACCAGUGGGGAAUAUUGGACAAUGGGGGAAACCCUGAUCCAGCAAUGCCGCGUGUGUGAAGAAGGCCUGCGGGUUGUAAAGCACUUUCGGUUGGGAGGACUGCUUCUAGCACUAAUAUUGUUGGAAGUUGACGUUACCUUCAGAAGAAGCACCGGCUAACUCCGUGCCAGCAGCCGCGGUAAUACGGAGGGGUGCAGCGUUAAUCGGAAUUACUGGGCGUAAAGCGCGCGUAGGCGGCUAGAUCAGUCGGGUGUGAAAGCCCCGGGCUUAACCUGGGAACUGCAUCCGAUACUGUCUAGCUUGAGUACAGGAGAGGAGAGUGGAAUUCCACAUGUAGCGGUGAAAUGCGUAGAUAUGUGGAGGAACACCAAUGGCGAAGGCAGCUCUCUGGCCUGAUACUGACGCUGAGGUGCGAAAGCGUGGGGAGCAAACAGGAUUAGAUACCCGCGUAGUC
rnacentral:rRNA from 1 species